AACGAACGCUGGCGGCAGGCUUAACACAUGCAAGUCGAACGCCCUAGCAAUAGGGAGUGGCGCACGGGUGAGUAACGCGUGGGAAUGUACCGUUUAGUGGGGGAUAACCAAGGGAAACUUUGGCUAAUACCGCAUACGCCCUUCGGGGGAAAGAUUUAUCGCUAAACGAUCAGCCCGCGUGAGAUUAGGUAGUGGGUGGGGUAACGGCCUACCAAGCCGACGAUCUCUAGCUGGUCUGAGAGGAUGAUCAGCCACACUGGAACUGAGACACGGUCCAGACUCCUACGGGAGGCAGCAGUGGGGAAUAUUGGACAAUGGGGGCAACCCUGAUCCAGCCAUGCCGCGUGAGUGAUGAAGGCAUUAGGGUUGUAAAGCUCUUUUACCGAUGAAGAUAAUGACGGUAGUCGGAGAAAAAGCCCCGGCUAACUUCGUGCCAGCCGCCGCCGUAA
rnacentral:rRNA from 1 species